AAUGUGGUUAAUGAUGCUCAACUUUUUUCCCCAUCUUAUCGACUAUGGUGACACUAGUCUGAAAAAUAAGCCAAUUGGUCUGAAACCACAAA
ensembl:snoRNA small nucleolar SNORD12/SNORD106